CCGACGCCGCCGCCUCCGCCGCGAUCCCCGCCGAGUCCGCGCCGCCGCUACAAUCCCAUCCCGAGAACGGGAGCGCGGGGUCCUCAGCCCUCGCCGCCUGGUUCUUCAGCCGCGAAGGCCCGCGGGAGAUCCUGGAAACGAGCGGCCGCGGUUCCCAAGCCCACGUUUUCCUGGCUGGAGUUCGAUGGGAUUAACUUCCUCUCCGAGUAGAAUAGCGCUCUCUCGACGUCACUGUGUCCCGGCUUACAACUAGAGGUGUCGCACACACCCACUUGGGUGCCUCCCCUUCCAAAACCAAGCAGAAAGGCGUCUAGAAAAUUAGAAGGUUUUGCCAGUUGGUGCUGGCGUAGAGGACGUUUCGAAGGCGCUUGGAGCACCCCACCGUUGCACUGGAUGUAGCUACCCCGGCUUGUGGUCAAUAGAGCUCCACCUGGCUUUUGGGGGGUGGCGGGGGGAUGGGGGAAGAGUUGUUUUUUAAUCCAUACUUUAUCCACUUUUCCUGUGCCUUCUUUCCAUCCCCUAAUACAUACAAGGGGAAAUUACCUGGGUGGACUUUUUAGUGAACGUAAAUGUUCCUUUAUGACCGUGAUUUAAUCAAUGCACUGUUUGCUUUCUAUUCUUUUUAAACUAGUUAUUGCUAUGGCUUUAAAAUAUCGUAGACUGUAUAGUUUUACUGACUGCUGUUUUUCAUCAUACAGGAUUUUAUUGUUCUAACAUUUAUUAAGCACUCAUAAUGUGCUAGAAACUCUACAUAUUAUUGCGAGUCAUUGCCUCUCAACACUGUUAAAUAUUUAAAGAAAUAAAUACUGCAGAAGCUA
rnacentral:lncRNA from 1 species